rnacentral:rRNA from 1 species
AGUGAACGCUGGCGGUAGGCCUAACACAUGCAAGUCGAACGGCAGCACAGGAGAGCUUGCUCUCUGGGUGGCGAGUGGCGGACGGGUGAGGAAUACAUCGGAAUCUACUUUUUCGUGGGGGAUAACGUAGGGAAACUUACGCUAAUACCGCAUACGACCUACGGGUGAAAGCAGGGGACCUUCGGGCCUUGCGCGAUUGAAUGAGCCGAUGUCGGAUUAGCUAGUUGGCGGGGUAAAGGCCCACCAAGGCGACGAUCCGUAGCUGGUCUGAGAGUGUGAUCGGCCACACUGGAACUGAGACACGGUCCAGACUCCUACGGGAGGCAGCAGUGGGGAAUAUUGGACAAUGGGCGCAAGCCUGAUCCAGCCAUACCGCGUGGGUGAAGAAGGCCUUCGGGUUGUAAAGCCCUUUUGUUGGGAAAGAAAUCCAGCUGGCUAAUACCCGGUUGGGAUGACGGUACCCAAAGAAUAAGCACCGGCUAACUUCGUGCCAGCCGCCGCCGUAA